rnacentral:rRNA from 1 species
CUGGUGCCAGCAGCCGCGGUAAUUCCAGCUCCAAUAGCGUAUNUUAAAGUUGUUGCAGUUAAAAAGCUCGUAGUUGAAUUUCGGGAUUGGCGCAUCGGUCGUGCCUUACGGGGUAUGAACUGGUGCAGUCAAUUUCUCACCUUCUGGAGAACCGCGAUGUCCUUAAUUGGGUGCCGCGGGGAACCAGGACCUUUACUUUGAAAAAAUUAGAGUGUUUAAAGCAAGCAAACGCUUGAAUACAUUAGCAUGGAAUAAUGAAAUAGGACGUUCGAUCCUAUUUUGUUGGUUUCUAGGGAUUGAUGUAAUGAUUAAUAGGGAUAGUUGGGGGCAUUAGUAUUCAAUUGUCAGAGGUGAAAUUCUUGGAUUUAUUGAAGACUAACUACUGCGAAAGCAUUUGCCAAGGAUGUUUUCAUUAAUCAGUGAACGAAAGUUGGGGGAUCGAAGACGAUCAGAUACCGUCGUAGUCUCAACCGUAAACUAUGCCGACUAGGGAUCGGGCGACGUUCCAAUUAUGACUCGCCCGGCACCUUACG